AUUGAACGCUGGCGGCAGGCCUAACACAUGCAAGUCGAACGGUAACAGGAAACAGCUUGCUGUUUCGCUGACGAGUGGCGGACGGGUGAGUAAUGUCUGGGAAACUGCCUGAUGGAGGGGGAUAACUACUGGAAGCGGUAGCUAAUACCGCAUAACGUCGCAAGACCAAAGAGGGGGACCUUCGGGCCUCCUGCCAUGGGAUGUGCCCAGAUGGGAUUAGCUAGUAGGUGGGGUAACGGCUCACCUAGGCGACGAUCCCUAGCUGGUCUGAGAGGAUGACCAGCCACACUGGAACUGAGACACGGUCCAGACUCCUACGGGAGGCAGCAGUGGGGAAUAUUGCACAAUGGGCGCAAGCCUGAUGCAGCCAUGCCGCGUGUAUGAAGAAGGCCUUCGGGUUGUAAAGUACUUUCAGCGGGGAGGAAGGGAGUAAAGUCAAUACCUUUGCUCAUUGACGUUACCCGCAGAAGAAGCACCGGCUAACUCCGUGCCAGCAGCCGCCGUAA
rnacentral:rRNA from 1 species